UACAGAGACGGCAAGCGUUGUUCGGAUUCAUUGGGCGUAAAGGGUGCGUAGGCGGUCGGCUAAGUCGGAUGUGAAAUCUCACAGCCUAACUGUGAUAGGUCAUUCGAAACUGGCUGGCUUGAGGACUGGAGAGGAGACUGGAAUUGUCGGUGUAGCGGUGAAAUGCGUAGAGAUCGACAAGAACACCGGUGGCGAAGGCGGGUCUCUGGACAGUUCCUGACGCUGAGGCACGAAAGCCAGGGGAGCAAACGGG
rnacentral:rRNA from 1 species